CAAUAAUGUGAAUCCUGAAUCUUUUUCAUGUGUCACAUGGAGCCAGUCUCAGAGAACCAGUCAGAUCCCUGCCACAGUCCAGACUGUCAGCCAGGAUGAAAAUCAGCAGCACAUAUACUCCUCUCUUCUCCACGGUGAUGCUUGUGUCUAUGAGUCACUCAGAGGUCCUGAAAACACUGGAGAUGUUGGACGGGCCGGUGGCUCCACAAAUGUCAAAUCUCAGACUGAGCUCAGAGAUGUUGGACAGAGGAGAAAACGAGGUGAUCCAGGGAAGAGCUCUGACUACUAGAAUGUGAAUCCAGACUCAUCUACAGGUCCAUAAAGAGAAGUGCAUCAUCAAUGAAACAAGACAAGUCUGGACAACAACAUGAAGAACAACAUUCAUCUGUAAACAUGUGUUUGAUGACAUUUAUUCAACUGCUGCCAUCCAGACAUCAGACACAUAGUCAUUAAUGAA